rnacentral:rRNA from 1 species
GUAGGGAAUAUUGGACAAUGGGCGAAAGCCUGAUCCAGCCAUGCCGCGUGAUAGAUGAAGGCCCUCUGGGUUGUAAAUAUCUUUUAUCUGGGAAGAAACUCCUCUAUUCUUAGAGGCCUGACGGUACCAGAGGAAUAAGCACCGGCUAACUCCGUGCCAGCAGCCGCGGUAAUACGGAGGGUGCAAGCGUUAUCCGGAUUCACUGGGUUUAAAGGGUGCGUAGGCGGGUUGAUAAGUCAGUGGUGAAAGCUCCGGGCUUAACUUGGAAACUGCCAUUGAUACUGUCAGUCUUGAAUGUCGUAGAGGUAAGCGGAAUGUUGCAUGUAGCGGUGAAAUGCUUAGAUAUGUUACAGAACACCAAUUGCGAAGGCAGCUUACUAUGCGAUAAUUGACGCUGAGGCACGAAAGCGUGGGGAGCAAACAGGAUUAGAAACCCGAGUAGUCC